rnacentral:rRNA from 1 species
GACGAACGCUGGCGGCGUGCUUAACACAUGCAAGUCGAACGGUGAAGCGCCUUCCUUUUUGGUGGGUGUGGAUGAGUGGCGAACGGGUGAGUAACACGUGAGUAACCUGCCCCCUUCUUCUGGAUAACCGCAUGAAAGUGUGGCUAAUACGGGAUAUUCUGGGUCUGUCGCAUGAUGGGUCUGGGAAAGAUAUUGUUUCGGUGGGGGAUGGGCUCGCGGCCUAUCAGCUUGUUGGUGGGGUGAUGGCCUACCAAGGCGGUGACGGGUAGCCGGCCUGAGAGGGUGGACGGUCGCACUGGGACUGGGACACGGCCCAGACUCGUACGGGAGGCAGCAGUGGGGAAUAGUGCACAAUGGGCGCAAGCCUGAUGCAGCGACGCCGCGUGAGGGAUGGAGGCCUUCGGGUUAUGAACCUCUUUCGCCAGUGAAGCAGGCCUGCCUCGUUUGUGGGUGGGUUGACGGUAGCUGGAUAAGAAGCGCCGGCUAACUACGUG